rnacentral:rRNA from 1 species
CCUACGGGAGGCAGCAGUGAGGAAUAUUGGUCAAUGGGCGCGAGCCUGAACCAGCCAAGUCGCGUGAGGGAGGACGGCCCUACGGGUUGUAAAUCUCUUUUGCCGGGGAGCAACGGGCGCCACGUGUGGCGUCACUGAGAGUACCCGGAGUAAAAGCAUCGGCUAACUCCGUGCCAGCAGCCGCGGUAAUACGGAGGUUGCGAGCGUUAUCCGGAUUUAGUGGGUUUAAAGGGUGCGUAGGCGGAUCGUUAAGUCAGUGGUCAAAUUGAGGGGCCCAACCCCUGCCCGCCAUUGAAACUGGCGAUCUUGAGUGGAAGAGAGGUAUGCGGAAUGCGUGGUGUAGCGGUGAAAUGCAUAGAUAUCACGCAGAACCCCGAUGGCGAAGGCAGCAUGCCGGCUUCCGACUGACGCUGAAGCACGAAAGCGUGGGGAUCGAACAGGAUUAGAUACCCCUGUAGUC